rnacentral:rRNA from 1 species
CCUACGGGUGGCAGCAGUGGGGAAUAUUGGGCAAUGGGCGCAAGCCUGACCCAGCAACGCCGCGUGAAGGAAGCAGGCUCUCGGGUUGGAAACUUCUUUUAUCAGGGACGAAGAAAGUGACGGUACCUGAUGAAUAAGCCACGGCUAACUACGUGCCAGCAGCCGCGGUAAUACGUAGGUGGCAAGCGUUAUCCGGAUUUACUGGGUGUAAAGGGCGUGUAGGCGGGAAAGCAAGUCAGAUGUGAAAACCAUGGGCUCAACCUGUGGCCUUCAUUUGAAACUGUUUUUCUUGAGUACUGGAGAGGCAGACGGAAUUCCUAGUGUAGCGGUGAAAUGCGUAGAUAUUAGGAGGAACACCAGUGGCGAAGGCGGUCUGCUGGACAGCAACUGACGCUGAGGCGCGAAAGCGUGGGGAGCAAACAGGAUUAGAUACCCCGGUAGUC